UUUGAGGGGCCUAUUUUCUAGAAAUAACCGGUUUAUAGGUAUUUCUUUUAAAAAUACAAAAGUAGAUUUUUUCCAUAUAAAAGGUAAGAAAUGUUUUAGGUAUGUGAAAAUUUAGGCCUCACAGUAAGCUUUAGCUUUAGGCCACAUAUGUGCUCAAGCUGCCUUUGUAUGUACCUGAUGCAAUUUAUACUCUUUAAGAUGUGCAUUACUAAUCUUUCAAAAAAAUACAAGGUGUUCACAUUUGUAAUAAAUACAGACUGAUGUGUGGCUGCGUAAGCUGUUUGUCUCUUGACAUCUGGACUAAUCCCUCUGCCAUGAGAAGUUGCCUUCAAACUAAUGCUACUUUUUCUGUCAUGCAGAGCAAGGAAAGGAUUUGGAGGAAUUUUUCCAGUCAACUGCAGGUGCCAUGUUUAACAUUUUUAUUAUUUAACUGCAGUUCCAGUCUGAGUUUUAAAUUCUAGUCAUUCUAUUUUUUGUGCUGCCGUGUGUGUACUUUAGACCUAGACCCUUUCCCAUCAUAACCUACUAUUGUCUUUCCAUUCUGACCUGAUCAUGCAUCCUGUCUUAGAUUUGCCAAAUCAGUGGUUAACUAUUGAGCUUGGAAUUCAGAAUACCAUUCAAUUGUCUGAACUCUGGACAUUUACAUCUGAAUUUGUUAGAUGAUUAGUGAAUGACAUAAUAUUGCCAUUUUAUUGGAACAUUCAAGUUGUUCGAAGUUGGUAUUGAAGUUUUAUGGAUAGUCCCCCCUCCUUCCCCUCCUGAAUAUGAGUAUCUUGUAACUAGAUUUGAAUUCUGUUCCUUGGAGAAUUUAAGUUCGUAGAGUUUGCAUAUGCAGUAGAGUUGUCUGCACCGGUGGAUUUAGGUUCUCUUGGAAAGGAUUGUCUGAUAACCAAAAGAUUGAGGAGACCUAUGUAGCAUAGAUUUGCAAAAUAAAAUUUCUCAAAAAGAGGCAUGAAAGAUAUACUCAUUAUAUUCUCUUGUUUUCAGUCAGAUUGUGUAUAUAUAUAUAUAUGGUAUGUCUUUGUGUGUACUUGGUCCCUCUGAUGAAUUGAGUCACUUGUGCUAUGCUAGGGUUUAAUCAGGUUACCUUUUUACUGUAACCACAUUUAACUUGAGUAGUUACAAGAGAAAAAUUUAAAUCCAGAAAAUUGGUAGUCGAAAGUCAUCGUAAUGAUGAUGUUACUAGUUUAAUAAAGUGGAGAAUUUCCUUGCUUUGAGACUUGAAGCUGUUAUAUUCUUCUUCUUAUUCUUCUUUUGUAUCGAUCGAUUUUGAUAAUAGCCCGUGCUUACCUUUGGUAAAAAGAUGCAAUCUUUGACAACGCAUAACAUGUCUGCAGGAAAGUUCCAAACGGACGUGGGCAAAGCUUGGGCUGCAGAGGUAGCAUCAAGAAGAAAGAAAUCCAACUGAAAUGAUGUGGUAGUCAACUGGAUUACAAUUUGCACCAGCUCUAUUGCUGAUGACCCAAAUUCUAACUAGGUAGGUGGAAUGAUCAGUGCUUAUUUCUUGUCUUGUCAUGUUGAAAAUUAAAACAUAUAUUUGACGUAUCAGUCCAAAUGGUUCCAACUACAGGAUCACUGAAUCACUAUGCAGAAACUGACAUUGAAAUGGUUCUCUACAAUUUGCAACAGGAACACUGAGCCCCAUGGUGUAUAGGGCUGGACAUCAUCUUACAUGCUAUAAGAAGAGUUUGCAUACUUGUUCUUUUGCUUAAAAAGGUUCCGCGAUAGGGAAAUCCUAAACUUGGUGAUAUUUGUUCAAUUUUGUUAUUUUGAAUUCCUCUAUUUCGAUUUCCAGUAAAUAUGCUAGAUGCUAAAACUGAAACUUGGAAGAUGAUUUGAUCGUAGGUGGACAAGAAUUUCAUCCUAGAAGUAAUAACUUUAACCGGAUAUGCGAUGAAAAUAUAAUAAUGCUAGAAAGCUUCAAAGUUUUCUGCUAUAUUGUGACAAAAAUGUAUUAAAACAGUAUAUUGUAAUCCAAGCAGUUAUGAUGCAUGUUUGAACGUGAUGUAUUACAUUCUAGCACUCGACACUGAAAGGUGAGUCAAAUACUUUGAGAAUCUAGGUCCAAUGUACUGUAAAUUAUUUUAAAUUUACAAACUUGUUUCCCAUAGGUCAAAUGUGACUAAUAUCCUUUCUCAAAAAAUUGGACUGUAAUAUCAGUAUAUUGGUAAAUUAUUUCUUAUUUAAUUAAAAGUCAACAGAGAAAGGUGCGCCAAGAAAACUACAGAAUUAUAUGAUGUCCACAAACGGAUGGGGUCCAAUGCAAU
rnacentral:lncRNA from 1 species